GACGAACGCUGGCGGCGUGCCUAAUACAUGCAAGUAGAACGCUGAAGAGAGGAGCUUGCUCUUCUUGGAUGAGUUGCGAACGGGUGAGUAACGCGUAGGUAACCUGCCUUGUAGCGGGGGAUAACUAUUGGAAACGAUAGCUAAUACCGCAUAACAAUGGAUGACACAUGUCAUUUAUUUGAAAGGGGCAAUUGCUCCACUACAAGAUGGACCUGCGUUGUAUUAGCUAGUAGGUGAGGUAACGGCUCACCUAGGCGACGAUACAUAGCCGACCUGAGAGGGUGAUCGGCCACACUGGGAAUGAGACACGGCCCAGACUCCUACGGGAGGCAGCAGUAGGGAAUCUUCGGCAAUGGGGGCAACCCUGACCGAGCAACGCCGCGUGAGUGAAGAAGGUUUUCGGAUCGUAAAGCUCUGUUGUAAGUCAAGAACGAGUGUGAGAGUGGAAAGUUCACACUGUGACGGUAGCUUACCAGAAAGGGACGGCUAACUACGUG
rnacentral:rRNA from 1 species